UACGUAGGGGGCAAGCGUUGUCCGGAUUUAUUGGGCGUAAAGAGCGUGUAGGCGGCUUUCAGGUCCGUUGUGAAAACUCGAGGCUCAACCUCGAGACGCCGGUGGAAACCUAAGGCUAGAGUCCGGAAAGGAGGAGAGUGGAAUUCCUGGUGUAGCGGUGAAAUGCGCAGAUAUCAGGAGGAACACCCGUGGCGAAGGCGGCUCUCUGGGGACGGUAC
rnacentral:rRNA from 1 species